rnacentral:rRNA from 1 species
AGCGAACGCUGGCGGCAGGCUUAACACAUGCAAGUCGAACGGUCCUUCGGGAUAGUGGCGGACGGGUGAGUAACACGUGGGAACGUGCCUUUAGGUUCGGAACAACACAGGGAAACUUGUGCUAAUACCGGAUGUGCCCUUCGGGGGAAAGAUUUAUCGCCUUUAGAGCGGCCCGCGUCUGAUUAGCUUGUUGGUGAGGUAAUGGCUCACCAAGGCGACGAUCAGUAGCUGGUCUGAGAGGAUGACCAGCCACAUUGGGACUGAGACACGGCCCAAACUCCUGGGGGGGGCAGAGGUGGGGAAUCUUGCGCAAUGGGCGAAAGCCUGACGCAGCCAGGCCGCGUGAAUGAUGAAGGUCUUAGGAUUGUAAAAUUCUUUCACCGGGGACGAAAAGGACGGUACCCGAAAAAGAAGCCCCGGCUAACUUCGUGCCAGCCGCCGCGGUAA